rnacentral:rRNA from 1 species
CACGUAGGCACCAAGCGUUGUCCGGAUUUAUUGGGCGUAAAGAGCUCGUAGGCGGUUCAGUAAGUCGGGUGUGAAAACUUUGGGCUUAACCCAAAGCGUGCAUCUGAUACUGCUGUGACUUGAGUUCGGUAGGGGAGUGGGGAAUUCCUAGUGUAGCGGUGAAAUGCGCAGAUAUUAGGAGGAACACCGGUGGCGAAGGCGCCACUCUGGGCCGAAACUGACGCUGAGGAGCGAAAGCGUGGGGAGCAAACAGG